UACGGAGGGUGCAAGCGUUGCUCGGAAUUAUUGGGCGUAAAGGGUAGGUAGGUGGUCUUAUUUGUCUGGGGUGAAAGCCUUGAGCUUAACUCAAGAAGUGCCUCAGAAACGGUGAGACUGGAGUCCUGGAGAGGGUCGUGGAAUUCCCGGUGUAGCGGUGAAAUGCGUAGAGAUCGGGAGGAACACCAGAGGCGAAGGCGGCGACCUGGACAGGCACUGACACUCAACUACGAAAGCGUGGGGAGCAAACAGG
rnacentral:rRNA from 1 species